GAUGAACGCUGGCGGCGUGCCUAAUACAUGCAAGUCGAGCGAACAGACGAGGAGCUUGCUCCUCUGACGUUAGCGGCGGACGGGUGAGUAACACGUGGAUAACCUACCUAUAAGACUGGGAUAACUUCGGGAAACCGGAGCUAAUACCGGAUAACAUGUUGAACCGCAUGGUUCAACAGUGAAAGACGGUUUUGCUGUCACUUAUAGAUGGAUCCGCGCCGCAUUAGCUAGUUGGUAAGGUAACGGAUUACCAAGGCAACGAUGCGUAGCCGACCUGAGAGGGUGAUCGGCCACACUGGAACUGAGACACGGUCCAGACUCCUACGGGAGGCAGCAGUAGGGAAUCUUCCGCAAUGGGCGAAAGCCUGACGGAGCAACGCCGCGUGAGUGAAGAAGGUCUUCGGAUCGUAAAACUCUGUUAUUAGGGAAGAACAAAUGUGUAAGUAACUAUGCACGUCUUGACGGUACCUAAUCAGAAAGCCACGGCUAACUACGUG
rnacentral:rRNA from 1 species